rnacentral:lncRNA from 1 species
GGGGAGUAUCUGUAAGGAGUAAUUUGGAAUAGGCCAAUAAUGUGUGAAGAUUCAAGCCCAUUAUGACCCAUCGAAUCCAUAUCAGUGCCUCUCAAGUGGCCUAAUUGUUGUGGUUUGUUUGACAAAUAUCUGUUCCGAUCCUUGGUCGGAGGUUAUUCUGUUCGAUCUUAUUGAAAAUUAUAUCUCAAAGUCAAUCGUCAGCUUAUUGAUGAUUAUGUUCA